GUGGCCUGGGGCUGUCAGACAGUAGUGUCGCUGCAGGACACGGAGGAGACUGGCAGCGAGGCAGCAGGGUCGGCAGGAGCCCAUAAAGGUUCUGAUGACGCAUUCCUCAGGCCCAAUCCGUAGAGCAGGAGGUAAGCUUUGGACAAUGUUAAUCUUUUCUUGUAAAUAUUUAAACAUUUUAUAUUUGGUGGCAUAAUCCAUCUCAUUGUAUCCUUGAGAUUGAACAGUAUUAUGACUAUACAAAUUUCAGUAUAUGUCUCAGGAAAAAAUCACUGAACUAAGAAACAGAAAUAUCGGUAUUAUACUUAUUGCAAUAAGGGUUUUCAAGGAACAACAUUUAGGACAAAGAUUUUAUCAAAAUCACAAAACUAACCAUAUGUAGUAGCCAAUCACAGCUUAUAAAACUAAAAUGCAACUCAAUGGCUGCUCAAAAAUGCCUGAGAAUUCCUAAGAAUGCUGAAAAUGUCGCAACUCUAAGGGGAAGGGUUUGCAGUGCGGCAAGCCCGGCUACUUCCCAUUCUACCUGAGUGAUCUGAGCCACUCUCUCCAGCUCCCCACAGUGCAGAUCUGAGUGAGAGGCUCUUGUACUGGGUAUUGUCUGAAGUCUAAAGGCAGAACCCCUCCCUUGUGGUCUGCUUUAUAUUCACACACUGACGUGUCAAACACUUGACGAACUCAGUCAUUCAUGGCUGCCUUUUUUGAUCUGUCCUUAAUGGGGAAAAAAGAGUUAACUGAACUGGAUUGAAUUAGCUUGGUGAAAAAUAAAAUGUCUCUAUUUAUU
ensembl:lncRNA novel transcript, antisense to RAB11FIP2